AGGACGAACGCUGGCGGCGUGCUUAACACAUGCAAGUCGAACGGAAAGGCCCUUCGGGGUACUCGAGUGGCGAACGGGUGAGUAACACGUGGGUGAUCUGCCCUGCACUUUGGGAUAAGCCUGGGAAACUGGGUCUAAUACCGAAUAGGACCACGGCAUGCAUGUGCUGUGGUGGAAAGCUUUUGCGGUGUGGGAUGGGCCCGCGGCCUAUCAGCUUGUUGGUGGGGUGAUGGCCUACCAAGGCGACGACGGGUAGCCGGCCUGAGAGGGUGUCCGGCCACACUGGGACUGAGAUACGGCCCAGACUUCUACGGGAGGCAGCAGUGGGGAAUAUUGCACAAUGGGCGCAAGCCUGAUGCAGCGACGCCGCGUGGGGGAUGACGGCCUUCGGGUUGUAACCCUUUCAGUAGGGACGAAGCGCAAGUGACGGUACCUACAGAAGAAGCACCGGCCAACUACGUGCCAGCAGCCGCGGUAA
rnacentral:rRNA from 1 species